GUGGGGAAUUUUGGACAAUGGGGGAAACCCUGAUCCAGCGACGCCGCGUGAAGGAUGAAGGCCUUCGGGUUGUAAACUUCUUUUGGAGGGGACGAAUAAAUUGACGGUACCCUCAGAAAAAGCCACGGCUAACUACGUGCCAGCAGCCGCGGUAAUACGUAGGUGGCGAGCGUUACUCGGAAUUACUAGGCGUAAAGCGUAUGUAGGCGGUUGUAUAAGUCUAUGGUGAAAUUUCCUGGCUCAACUGGGAAGGGACAUAGAUACUGUAUGGCUUGAGUGUUGGAGGGGGAGACGGAAUUCCUGGUGUAGCGGUGAAAUGCGUAGAUAUCAGGAGGAACACCGAUGGCGAAAGCAGUCUCCUGGCCAAAUACUGACGCUGAGGUACGAAAGCUAGGGUAGCAAACGGGAUUAGAUACCCGGGUAGUCC
rnacentral:rRNA from 1 species